GGGAAAGUGGCUCAGUGGUAGAGCACUUGCCUUGCAUACAUGAGGCCCUGGGUUCAAUUCCCUAGCACCA
rnacentral:tRNA from 1 species